AGAUAUAUAAACAUAUUAUACAUAUAUAUAUUUUUUUAUUUGCUAAUAUUUAUUUUUUAUUUUACAGAUACAGGGAGACAGUCUGUCAGUUUAGGCAGUUCCCCUGCAGGCAGAUACACAAGCACCUAUUGCAGCCAUGUGACCGCUCUUUCGGAGUGAUCACAUGGCCUGCGGGGGCCUAAUUUGCUGAGGGCGGGCUGUCUGGGCUGUCAGGCAGUCCCCCCAGGCUGGAAGCAACACCGAUCGCCAGCGGGGGAAUGGCGGCGAUCAGGUAAGUAAUAAGGACGGCUCAUAUUUGCCACGGACGUACUAUACAUGUCUGCGGUCCUUAAGGGCCGUUUUUUUGUCGGACGUCCCAAGUACGUCCGCGGUCCUUAAGGGGUUAAAGCACCAGAGCAACUGCAAGAGCACACUGCGUUAUAAGUAGUCAAUACAUUUUAGAACAGUUUUACUUCGGUCUUACAUUGGGUCUGCUUGUUGC